rnacentral:rRNA from 1 species
UACAGAGGUGGCAAGCGUUGUUCGGAAUUACUGGGCGUAAAGGGUUCGUAGGCGGUGCGGCAAGUCGGGAGUGAAAUCUCUGGGCUUAACUCGGAAAGGUCAGCCGAUACUGCGGGGCUAGAGUGCAGAAGGGGCAACUGGAAUUCUCGGUGUAGCGGUGAAAUGCGUAGAUAUCGAGAGGAACACCUGCGGCGAAGGCGGGUUGCUGGGCUGACACUGACGCUGAUUGUGCGAAAGCUAGGGGAGCGAACGGG